rnacentral:tRNA from 1 species
GGGGAUUAGCUCAGUGGUAGAGCGCUUGCCUAGCUAGCAAGCACAAGGCCCUGGGUUCGGUCCCCAGCUCCG